GAUGAACGCUGGCGGCGUGCCUAAUACAUGCAAGUCGAGCGAACAGACGAGGAGCUUGCUCCUCUGACGUUAGCGGCGGACGGGUGAGUAACACGUGGAUAACCUACCUAUAAGACUGGGAUAACUUCGUGAAACCGGAGCUAAUACCGGAUAAUAUAUUGAACCGCAUGGUUCAAUAGUGAAAGACGGUUUUGCUGUCACUUAUAGAUGGAUCCGCGCCGCAUUAGCUAGUUGGUAAGGUAACGGCUUACCAAGGCAACGAUGCGUAGCCGACCUGAGAGGGUGAUCGGCCACUCUGGAACUGAGACACGGUCCAGACUCCGACGGGAGGCAGCAGUAGGGAAUCUUGCGCAAUGGGCGAAAGCUUGACGGAGCAACGCCGCGUGAGUGAUGAAGGGCUUCGGAUCGUAAAACUCUGUUAUUAGUGAAGAACAAAUGUGUAAGUAACUAUGCACGUCUUGACGGUACCUAAACAGAAAGCCACGGCUAACUACGU
rnacentral:rRNA from 1 species